rnacentral:sRNA from 1 species
CGGAGAUUGUCUCCAUCGACACUUUCAACAAGUCACCCCCCAAGCGGGGUCUGGUUGUGGGGAUCACGUUCAUCAAGGAUUCAGGGGACAAGGGCAGCCCCUUCCUGAACAUUUACUGCGACUACGAGCCCGGCUCUGAGUACAACCUUGACUCCAUUGCCCGUGAGUGAGGCGUGGACGGGAGGAGGGAGAGGGUCCCCAGCAGGUCCCCCAUGCUAACCUGCCUAUGCCCUGCCUACAGAGAGCUGCCUGAACCUGGAGCUCCAGUUCACUCCCUUCCAGCUGUGCCAUGCAGAGGUCCAGGUCGGGGAUCAACUUGAGACCGUGUUUCUCUUGAGUGGAAACGACCCGGCCAUUCAUCUCUACAAGGAGAACGAGGGGCUGCAUCAGUUUGAGGAACAGCCCGUGGAAAACCUCUUCCCAGAGCUGACGAACCUGACCAGUAGGUAGGAGAGGCCCCGAAAGAGGCCACUGGGGACCGGGGCACUGACCUCAGAGAAAUCGGGCGGUGAGACCUUAGAGAAAUUGGUCACCGGGGAGGAGUUCAGAAAAAUCAGUCCAGGGCAUGACUUCAGAGAAAUUGAUCAGCAGGGGUGACCCCAGAAAAAACAAGAGGUGGACUCAGCCCUCGGGUGGUGAGAAUUGACCC